GAUGAACGCUGGCGGCGUGCUUAACACAUGCAAGUCGAACGGAAAGGCCCAAGCUUGCUUGGGUACUCGAGUGGCGAACGGGUGAGUAACACGUGGGUGAUCUGCCCUGCACUUCGGGAUAAGCCUGGGAAACUGGGUCUAAUACUGGAUAGGACCACUUCUUGGAUGUUGUGGUGGAAAGUUUUUUCGGUGUGGGAUGAGCUCGCGGCCUAUCAGCUUGUUGGUGGGGUAAUGGCCUACCAAGGCGUCGACGGGUAGCCGGCCUGAGAGGGUGUACGGCCACAUUGGGACUGAGAGACGGCCCAGACGCCUACGGGAGGCAGCAGUGGGGAAUAUUGCACAAUGGGCGCAAGCCUGAUGCAGCGACGCCGCGUGGGGGAUGACGGCCUUCGGGUUGUAAACUCCUUUCGCUAGGGACGAAGCGUUUUGUGACGGUACCUGGAGAAGAAGCACCGGCUAACUACGUG
rnacentral:rRNA from 1 species